rnacentral:misc_RNA from 1 species
UCCUCUUUACAGAGGCAGUUUGUUCCGAGUCCCCGGCAUUAUCCGCUGGUAACAGAACAUGAGGGUUGCGCUCGUUGCGGGACUUAACCCAACAUUUCACAACACGAGCUGACGACAGCCUUGCACCACCUGUGCUGCACCCUCGAAGGCGACCGCUUUUGGGCGGCUUGCAGCAGCAUGUCAAGCCCUGGUAAGGUUCUUCGCGUUGCAUCGAAUUAAGCCAUAUGCUCCACCGCUUGUGCGGGCCCCCGCCAAUUCCUUUGAGUUUCAACCUUGCGGCCGUAGUCCCCAGGCGGUUCACUUAAUGCGUUAGCUGCGGCACCGAGGGAGAACCCCCAACACCUAGUGAACAUCGUUUACGGCAUGGACUAC